AAAGUGCAGCAACCGACUUGGCUUAUUGUUUUGGAAAUUGCAACCGGUGCUCUCCUGCUUGUUUUUGUGAUCACUGAUGCUGUUACUGCCUCCAGAAGCUGCGAUCUAAAGCCUUCUAUAAGAAUAUCAUCAUGGAGUAGAUCAAAAAAUUGGAGCGAUGAGAUAACAGUACUGAUUGAUUCUGAUAUCCUGAAAAGUCCAAAGUUGAGUCACCAGGAACUUGAAUUAGCGUGUGAGGAUUUUAGCAACAUAAUUGUCUCAACUCCAGAGACUAUAAUCUACAAAGAAACAAUGAAGAAUGGACCUGAGGUUUCUGUCAUAUCAUUAUGCGCCUUUAAAGGUCAUUGGACUAGCCAGCAUGAGCUCUUUUACCGCAACAAAGUUAUUGAUCUGGCAAGGUUGAAUCAUGAGAACAUAGCAAAGUUUCUGGGCUAUUGCAGAUAGAGUGACCCAUUCUCGAGGAUGUUAGUCUUUGAACGAAUGAAAAUAGCCAUCGGCAUCGCCCAAGGUUUAAGGUAUAUGUACACCGAGUCGCAGCCUCCUUUUGCUAUAUUGGAGCUGAACUCCAAUUUAGUAUACGUUACAGAAGAUUUUAUGUACAAACUGAAAUUUGAAAUCCACUUCAGACAAUUGCUCAUGAGCUGA
rnacentral:rRNA from 1 species